GCUCAGUUGUUGAACUCAAAUGGCAGCUAAACACUUAAAAUAGUCUUCAUCAUAUGGCUGUAAACAUAUCUUUUUUUGCGUCAUUAAUUACUUUGUUUAAAGUUUAGAUAUUUCCGAAUUGCAAAAUCCUGAAGAAUAUACUCAAAUUCAUGCCCAGUAACAGGCCAUUGAAAACGGAACAGGUUUGAAGCAAAGCAAAGGUCGUCUUCCUUUUGGCAUCUGAAAUAAAAACUCUCAUGGUGGCAAUGUGUGGACUUUUUAUUGGUGUCCUUUGGCACAGCAUCAGCAGCGAGAUCACAAAUGAAGCUAGGAGUUCGGGAGCAAGCAGAGAUGUGACCAAAACUGGACAUUAUCUUUGCCGAAAAGCAGGGAAAAGAAAAGGAGCGAUGCGGGCCAAAUCAUCGGCAUAGAUCAGCAGCAACAGCAACAGCAACAGCAACAUCAGCUGGUGCAGGCGGGAAACCCACCCCGAAUAAACGGGGACCAAGUGACCAGCGGAGGCUGAGGAGUGACCAGCGGCAAACUGGUUGCUCUGCUCCGAAGAUGGGAAAGGGUUGAUGUGGAUGCUCAUCUUGGCCGGGAUGCGUGUCAAAGUUCAGCGGCAUUCGAUGCUGUUGUCCAGUUUGGAAAACCGGCCUGCUUCUGGGUCCGAAUCCGUUGAAAUUUUGAUGUGAAAGUUCAGCAAAACGAUAAAGGGAUUUCUUAUAAAAGUUCCGUGUCCGGCCACAGAUGCGAAUGCUGCUACUGCUGCUGCUGAUGAUGCUGAUGCUGAUGCUGGGUAUUGAGCGUGAGAAAGUUUCCUUGCCGGAGCCAAACUUGUUUGCAUCUAAUGUCCUGCCGCAGAUGCUGACCCGCCUGGCUGCCUCGAGAAACCAGUCGCUCCUUCUGGAUCAACUACUUAGUCAGGGAGUCUAUUUACUCAUGCUAUUUGGUCAGUCGGCUAAUUGCUAACCAAAUGACAAGUAGCCUGCCGGCCAGCCAGGCGGCCAAACAUUAGCUCUCCAAAUGGGCAAAAGCCAUCCAUUGUUUGUCUAUAAGUCGAUUCGGUAAUUGUCCUCGAACGGAGUCACCAUUUAACUUCAUCUGGCUCCUGGCGGAUGACGUGACGACGGGAUGCUCCACCUUAUUAGCUUAGAUAUUCCAUUAGGCGCAUCGAUUACUCAGACAUGCAUUGAUUUUUUCACAUCUGACUGCCAAUUUCAAUGCAUACGCGAUGAGGCCACGGCCACUAAUGAACACCGGUUGUCCAACCCCCAAUUUACCAGCAGUUUGAAAGUUAACUGCUUUCAUGGACUCUGUGGAGUUUGCUAACUUAAAAUUAAAACAAAAUUCAAGUUGAAACUAGCGUUAUAAUAGCCCACUGAUCACACGCAUAGUAUUCUUUCAUUGUAGCUACUGUGCUUAUCAGCAAGAUCUGAAAUUGUGAAAAGUGUUUUAUCAAGUUAACCUUUCUGGUAUACGGCGUUGCUACACCUAAAUAUGAUCUUGGUUCUACAGGCGAAGACCCAAAGAAGGAUUUCUGGGACUCCUUGGUACAUGAGAUCCAAGAAUAUCGAACGCGAUCUCAAGGAACCCAAGAUCGGAGACAAGCGCCAAAACAUAAUAUAUAUCAAUAAUAAUUCUCCCUAUUACUUUUAGGAUAAAACUUCUGAAAGUCUUAAGUAACAAACACGCAAUUAAAGCUGAAAAUCUUUAGUUGUCACAUGGGUAACAGUGCGUUGAUCAAUAAAAACUAUAAAAAUUAAAA